ACAGGCUUAACACAUGCAAGUCGAGGGGCAGCGGGGUAGUGCUUGCACUACUGCCGGCGACCGGCGCACGGGUGAGUAACACGUAUGGAACCUGCCCGCAGCAGGGGGAUAAGCGGAAGAAAUUCCGUCUAAUACCGCGUAAGAACGUUGGGAGGCAUCUCCCGAUGUUUAAAGAUUUAUCGGCUGCGGAUGGCCAUGCGGCGCAUUAGCUAGUCGGCGGGGUAACGGCCCACCGAGGCGACGAUGCGUAGGGGUUCUGAGAGGAAGGUCCCCCACACUGGUACUGAGACACGGACCAGACUCCUACGGGAGGCAGCAGUGAGGAAUAUUGGUCAAUGGCCGAGAGGCUGAACCAGCCAAGUCGCGUGAGGGAAGACGGCCCUACGGGUUGUAAACCUCUUUUGUCGGGGAGCAAAGCGAACCACGUGUGGUUCAUUGAGAGUACCCGAAGAAAAAGCAUCGGCUAACUCCGUGCCAGCAGCCGCGGUAAUACGGAGGAUGCGAGCGUUAUCCGGAUUUAUUGGGUUUAAAGGGUGCGCAGGCGGAGGUGCAAGUCAGCGGUCAAAUUGCGGGGCUCAACCCCGUACUGCCGUUGAAACUGCAUCCCUUGAGUGCGCGAGAAGUAUGCGGAAUGCGUGGUGUAGCGGUGAAAUGCAUAGAUAUCACGCAGAACUCCGAUUGCGAAGGCAGCAUACCGGCGCGCAACUGACGCUCAUGCACGAAAGCGUGGGUAUCGAACAGGAUCAGAUACCCUGGUAGUCCACGCAGUAAACGAUGAACACUAA
rnacentral:rRNA from 1 species